CCUGUGUGUGUGUGUCCUGUUUGUGUGUGUGUGUGUCCUGUGUGUGUGUGUGUCCUGUGUGUGUGUGUGUCCUGUGUGUGUGUGUGUGUGUGUGUGUGUCCUGUGUGUGUGUGUGUGUGUGUGUGUCCUGUGUGUGUGUGUGUGUGUCUGUGUGUGUGUGUGUGUGUGUGUGUCCUGUGUGUGUGUCUGUGUGUGUGUGUCCUGUGUGUGUGUGUGUCCUGUGUGUGUGUGUGUGUGUGUGUCCUGUGUGUGUGUGUCCUGUGUGUGUGUGUGUCCUGUGUGUGUGUGUGUCCUGUGUGUGUGUGUGUGUCCUGUGUGUGUGUGUGUCCUGUGUGUGUGUGUGUGUCCUGUGUGUGUGUGUCCUGUGUGUGUGUGUGUGUGUGUUGUGUGUGUCCUGUGAGAGUGUGUGUGUGUGUGUGUGUGUCCUGUUUGUGUGUGUGUGUGUCCUGUGUGUGUGUGUCCUGUGUGUGUGUGUCCUGUGUGUGUGUGUCCUGUGUGUGUGUGUGUGUUGUCUGUGUGUGUGUGUGUGUGUCCUGUGUGUGUGUGUGUGUGUGUGUCCUGUGUGUGUGUGUGUGUGUGUGUGUGUCCUGUGUGUGUGUGUGAGUGUCCUGUGUGUGUGUGUGUGUGUCCUGUGUGUGUGUGUGUGUCCUGUGUGUGUGUGUGUCCUGUGUGUGUGUGUGUGUCCUGUGUGUGUGUGUGUGUCCUGUGUGUGUGUGUGUGUCCUGUGUGUGUGUGUGUGUGUCCUGUGUGUGUGUGUGUGUGUCCUGGUGUGUGUGUGUGUGUGUCCUGUGUGUGUGUGUGUGUCCUGUGUGUCCUGUGUGUCCUGUGUGUGUGUGUG
rnacentral:lncRNA from 1 species